AACGUACGCUGGCGGCACGCCUAACACAUGCAAGUCGAACGCAGUAGCAAUACUGAGUGGCAAACGGGUGAGUAUAAUGUGGGAAUCUGCCUUUUGGUUUGGAAUAACACGAGGAAACUUGUGCUAAUACCGGAUAAGCCUUCACAGGGAAAGUUUUAUACGCCAAAAGAUGAGCCCGCACUUGAUUAGCUAGUUGGUGAGGUAAUAGCUCACCAAGG
rnacentral:rRNA from 1 species